CGCCUCUUGCAUUCUAUGUAUAAGAGGUCCCGCCUGCCCUGUGACUAUAUGUUUAACGGCCGCGGUAUUUUGACCGUGCAAAGGUAGCGCAAUCACUUGUCUUUUAAAUAAAGACCUGUAUGAAUGGCAUGACGAGGGCUUAACUGUCUCCUUCUCCCGGUCAAUGAAAUUGAUCUCCCCGUGCAGAAGCGGGGAUAUUAUUAUAAGACGAGAAGACCCUGUGGAGCUUUAAAUGAUGAGAGAUUUUAUGCAACAAACCUAAAAAGGUAUAAGCGAAUUUAUACUCCCUCUAAUAUUUUUGGUUGGGGCGACCGCGGAGUAAAAAGAAACCUCCGUGAGGAAUGAGGUAAUUAACCUUAAAUCCCAGAACGACAAUUCAAAGAAACAAAAUUUUUGACCUAAAGAUCCGGCAAAGCCGAUCAACGAACCUAGUUACCCCAGGGAUAACAGCGCAAUCCCCUUCAAGAGUCCCUAUCGACAAGUGGGUUUACGACCUCGAUGUUGGAUCAGGAUAUCCUAAUGGUGUAGCCGCUAUUAAGGGUUCGUUUGUUCAACGAUUAAAAUCCU
rnacentral:rRNA from 1 species